GUGGCCUCCUUUCUCAUCAACAGUUUGAACAAAUUGUUUGUCUUCAGCAUUGAGAACACGGCCCAGAAAAAUAACCUUUUCCUGUACCCACUGAGGUUCUAAGAGACUUACCUUGUGUCCUUGUGUCCGCAGCAAGGAGAGUGAGUCAGAACGGCACUGUUCCUCUGUGGGUGCCCAAACGAGGAGGUUGUCCACGUACUGAAUGAGAGCAGAGCCCUUCGUUUGACAGAACACAUGACUUGAAAGCCAUGUGCCACUGCUGUGGACAUUAAUACUGCAAAACUCCCCAGCACCCCCUGCUUGAUCAUUCAAGGCAAUGUUACUCUGAUCUAGUGUCAACAUUUGUAUAGCCCUUUGUAUCUGAAGCAGAUCUCAAAGUGCUCAUAACACAUAAUGUUAUAUCUUUUCAUUUCAGGUGACAUGAUGAAGCCCUCUGGAAGGCUUACAUGUAAUGAUGGGCCCACACCCUUUAUUGUUACACGGAGUAGCUGCUUUCUUCAGCAGCUAUUACGUCUUCAACCUCGAGUGUCCUGCCACUGGAUCGUCGACGCUGGAGUUCAUUCAAAGCCCAACAGGCCAUCUGGGCACUUUGAACUGCAAAACAUCCCACCAGGAUAACGGUGUUAAAACUCCUCUCAACAUCCUGACAUUCUGGGUACCCUGGGUAUGGACAGCCAAAGAGAGGUUCAAUGGGCCCUGUGAUCAUGUCUGAAUUAAGAUAAGUGACGCAAGGAGAGUGAGUCAGAGCGACACUGUUCCUCUGUGGGUGCA